AUGCUUUUAUUAUGUCCACCCUCAGAAGGAAAACUAAUGAUUAACUUAUUAUCACUUUAUUUUGAGAUAGUAUUGCAAGAGUGCACAUCACCUUACAAACACAAAGAUGACAUAGGCCUGCCCCGAGGAGUUUACAGUUCCACUUUGGCAAACACUGCAAAAAAUUCUGUGGACAGGAAAACGUGGGAGAGACAGAGCAUGAAGAGGCCAGGCUUUGCUGUGGGAGUUGAACAUUUCAGUUGCUGUAGCAGCAUUGCAGUUAAGUUGGUGUCUCAGCAAGAUUUGCCCCCUUUUUUUUUUUUCCCAGACAUCUGUGUCCAGUUUCAUCUCGAGGAUCCAGAUAUAGCUUUACUCAGGGACUUGUUUCACAGUGUAAGUGUCCUAUUAAGCAGAACAGCACAGAUUUUCUCUGCCACUUCAUACAUCGUGUCACUGCAUUAGUGCUAUAAAGGCUGUGUCAACAGGGCUUAGGUUCUGACAGAUUAAGCAAAAAGCUGUCACCCUCCCUUCCCCACUCUGUGAAUUCUUUUUUUUAUUUUUUUUAACAUUUUUUUUAAUACAAAGGCAGAUUAAAUGCAUGUGAGAAGCUAUAGAGCCUGGGAGCAGUGUCUCCAGAAGGUGCAAUCACUUUGCACAGCAACACCUUAACUUUGAGGUACUCACAGGUCGGGUUUCUGCUUCCUUACAUUCAGUUGGGGUUGCUUCCAUGAAAGUCUUUCCCAUGGCCACCCUCCUUGCACUUCCCAUAUGGAUCAGGAGGUACAAAGGACAUAAAAAACCCCAAGUCCUACAAAUUCAUCAUUUAGGAAUUAUGAAAUCAGUUAAAUACAUUGACCUAUAUUUGAGUUAUACAGAUAAAUGCAUUAUUGAUGCUAACUGCUGUGAUUCUAGUCUUUGGUAGCCCAUUUUAUUUUUCCCACAAGGUGGCUCAUGCACACAGGGAGUGCACCAGGAAUUGUCUUAGUCCUGAAACACUCAGCUGGGAAGCAGCAGUGCUGCUUUCCACUCCAAAUGCAUAUAACCCACAAUUCUAUUUCCCUAAGCAUCAAAGGACAAGGCAAACUGCUUCUGAUCAACCACACGUGAUACAACCACCCCAGCUGUGUUUCUGCACUGCACAGGACAAUGUUUAGAAGAAUCUGAAGGCAAAAUAUUGCCCUCCACUGACCCCACUGCUGCAGGAGGUGCAGCUCUGAAGCAUUUAUGCCACAAGCAGUAGUGUGUUUGCAUAUCUUGCAUGCAGAUGAUUUCUGCAUGCAUUUCUGAUAGAUGAAUUUGAGACUGCUCUUGAAAUUAGUUUGGUUCACAACUGUCAAAAUAAAUUUCACCCCAUUAGAUCA
rnacentral:lncRNA from 1 species